rnacentral:rRNA from 1 species
AUUGAACGCUGGCGGCAGGCCUAACACAUGCAAGUCGAACGGUAGCACAGAGAGCUUGCUCUCGGGUGACGAGUGGCGGACGGGUGAGUAACGUCUGGGAAACUGCCCGAUGGAGGGGGAUAACUACUGGAAACGGUAGCUAAUACCGCAUAACGUCGCAAGACCAAAGUGGGGGACCUUCGGGCCUCACACCAUCGGAUGUGCCCAGAUGGAAUUAGCUAGUAGGUGGGGUAAUGGCUCACCUAGGCGACGAUCCCUAGCUGGUCUGAGAGGAUGACCAGCCACACUGGGACUGAGACACGGUCCAGACUCCUACGGGAGGCAGCAGUGGGGAAUAUUGCACAAUGGGCGCAAGCCUGAUGCAGCCAUGCCGCGUGUAUGAAGAAGGCCUUCGGGUUGUAAAGUACUUUCAGCGGGGAGGAAGGCGGUGAAGUUAAUAGCUUCACCGAUUGACGUUACCCGCAGAAGAAGCACCGGCUAACUCCGUGCCAGCAGCCGCGGUAA